CCAGGCCCGGACACUGGAAGGAUUGACAGAUUGAGAGCUCUUUCUUGAUUCGGUGGGUGGUGGUGCAUGGCCGUUCUUAGUUGGUGGAGCGAUUUGUCUGGUUAAUUCCGAUAACGAACGAGACUCUAGCCUGCUAAAUAGGUGGCUGGUUUUUAUUAUCGAAAGAUUUUUGGGUUUCUCGGCGGUCGGGAGCCUGGGUCGGCUGUUUGGGGGGCGGUUGUUCGGCGUGCCGGCUGGCGGUGGCGGGUGCGGGGGGCAACUCUCGUGUCCGUCGCUUUUGGUCUGUGCGUCGGGCGGCCGUCUUUCCGGGCGGUCGGCUCACUCGGCUGUUCGGGAUUCUCGCGUCAGUCACAUAUCUUCUUAGAGGGACAAGCGGCGUCCAGCCGCGUGACAGUGAGCAAUAACAGGUCUGUGAUGCCCUUAGAUGUCCUGGGCCGCACGCGCGCUACACUGAAGGAAUCAGCGUGUUUACUUCCCCCUGUCCGAAAGGACCGGGUAACCGCUGAACCUCCUUCGUGG
rnacentral:rRNA from 1 species